CGGAUCCUGGGUUAAGGGUGCGUAGGUGGGUCUGUAAGUCAGUUGGUGAAAUCUCCGGUGCUUAACACGGAAACUGCCAUUGAUACUAUGGAUCUUGAAUGUUCUGGAGGUUAGCGGAAUAUGUCAUGUAGCGGUGAAAUGCUUAGAUAUGACAUAGAACACCAAUUGCGAAGGCAGCUAACUACAGGGUUAUUGACACUGAGGCACGAAAGCGUGGGGAUCAAACAGGAUUAGAUACCCUGGUAGUCCACGCCCUAAACGAUGGAUACUCGACAUUGGUGAUACACAAUAAGUGUCUGAGCGAAAGCAUUAAGUAUCCCACCUGGGAAGUACGAUCGCAAGAUUGAAACUCAAAGGAAUUGGCGGGGGUCCGCAACAAGCGGUGGAGCAUGUGGUUUAAUUCGAUGAUACGCGAGGAACCUUACCUGGGCUAGAAUGCUGGGUGGACUGUGGGGUGAAAAGGCUCAACUUUGGUAAGCCAAAUAACAACCGGCCAAGUUAAAGGUGCUGGCAUUGGGCUUGUACGUCCAGCUCCGUGCCCAGUGG
rnacentral:rRNA from 1 species